rnacentral:rRNA from 1 species
ACGCUCGACACCUACGGGAGGUAGCAGUGAGGAAUAUUGGUCAAUGGACGCAAGUCUGAACCAGCCAUGCCGCGUGCAGGAUGACGGCUCUAUGAGUUGUAAACUGCUUUUGUACGAGGGUAAACGCAGAUACGUGUAUCUGUCUGAAAGUAUCGUACGAAUAAGGAUCGGCUAACUCCGUGCCUAACAGCCGCGGUAAUCUGAGCGGGCUGGCAAGGC